rnacentral:rRNA from 1 species
UACGUAGGGUGCAAGCGUUAAUCGGAAUUACUGGGCGUAAAGCGUGCGCAGGCGGUUUUGCAAGACAGAUGUGAAAUCCCCGGGCUCAACCUGGGAACUGCAUUUGUGACUGCAAGGCUAGAAUCUGGCAGAGGGGGGUAGAAUUCCAGGUGUAGCGGUGAAAUGCGUAGGGAUCUGGAGGAAUACCGGUGGCGAAGGCGGCCCCCUGGACAAAGACUGACGCUCAGGUGCGAAAGCGUGGGGAGCAAACAGG